rnacentral:rRNA from 1 species
UCGUCAGUUCGUACUGUGAAGCAUCCUGUUAAGUCAGGCAACGAGCGAGACCCACGCCCACAGUUGCCAGCGUACUCUCCGGAGUGACGGGGUACACUGUGGGGACCGCCGCUGCUAAAGCGGAGGAAGGAAUGGGCAACGGUAGGUCAGUAUGCCCCGAAUAUCCCGGGCUACACGCGAGCUACAAUGGUUGGUACAAUGGGUAUCUACCCCGAAAGGGGACGGAAAUCUCCUAAAACCAAUCUUAGUUCGGAUUGAGGGCUGCAACUCGCCCUCAUGAAGCUGGAAUCCGUAGUAAUCGCGUUUCAACAGAACGCGGUGAAUACGUCCCUGCUCCUU